UCAUGACGUUUUGUGCAGGAAUAGAAACCCUGACUAAGACAAAGUUCCUUCAGGAAUGCAGACUGGCAGUCAAAUGAUCCAUUGCACCAGGUCAAGUUAAGACUCUCCUUACUUACCUGACCAGAGGACACCUUCUUCAAUGAAUUACCUUCUCUGACAGACUCUUGUGUUGACUACUCUUCUAUCAACUUGACACACCAUCUAGAGAAGAACACCUCUGCCUGGAGGCUGUGCAUGACUGGGGCUGAGAAGAUACACCAGCACCAGCGUGACCAACUGGACUGACUAGCCAUCACCCUCCCCGUGCCUCCCCCAACUUGGGCUGUAAAAUCCUUCACAAAGGGCUGACUCUAGCAGUUUGAUGGGAUCCACUGAGGUGCCUUUCUCGGUUUGAGGAGUCAGUUCCUCUAGACUGCUAGAUACCUCAAUUAAGCCCAAAACAGGAUUCCUGGUUUCAAUCCAGAAAGUAAUUUCAAGGUGAAACAGAAUGAAGCAGAGUUGGGUUUAAUAAAGACAUUUUGAUAUACAUGUUAAA
rnacentral:sRNA from 1 species